rnacentral:rRNA from 1 species
AUACGUAGGUGGCAAGCGUUGUCCGGAAUUACUGGGGCGUAAAGGAUGCGUAGGCGGAUAUGUAAGUCAGAUGUGAAAUACCCGGGCUCAACUUGGGUGCUGCAUUUGAAACUGCAUGUCUAGAGUGCGGGAGAGGAAAGUGGAAUUCCUAGUGUAGCGGUGAAGUGCGUAGAGAUUAGGAAGAACACCAGUGGCGAAGGCGACUUUCUGGACCGUAACUGACGCUGAGGCAUGAAAGCGUGGGUAGC